rnacentral:rRNA from 1 species
ACAAGGUNUNNNUAGGUGAACCUGCGGAAGGAUCAUUUCUGAAGGCUUUUUGCCAAAACCACUGUGAACAGCUUAGACUUCGGUCUUUGCAAUUGCUUGGGUGUCGAAAGGCGCCCAAUCUUUAAAACUUUUAUAUUUGUUCUGAAACAAUGAAAAUUUAAAACUUUCAACAACGGAUCUCUUGGUUCUCGUAUCGAUGAAGAACGCAGCAAAGCGCGAUAGGUAAUGCGAAUUGCAGACGUGAGUCAUUGAAUUUUUGAACGCAUAUUGCGCUAUUAGUUUGUCUAAUAGCAUGCUUGUUGGAGUGAUAAUCUUCCUCUCAACCAUUUUUGGUAUGAGGUCUUGCUCCUUUUAGGAGUUAAAAUCAUGGAAGUGCACACGUUAAUUAACUCUGUGCAGUUAUACACUUUUCAUCCUCCAAUCAAGCAAGGUUACCCGCUGAACUUAAGCAUAUNNNNNA